rnacentral:rRNA from 1 species
UUGACCUACGGGGGGCAGCAGUAGGGAAUCUUCCACAAUGGACGAAAGUCUGAUGGAGCAACGCCGCGUGAGUGAAGAAGGGUUUCGGCUCGUAAAGCUCUGGUGGGAGGGAAGAAAGAUAGAGGUAGUAACUGGCCUUUAUUUGACGGUAAUUACUUAGAAAGUCACGGCUAACUACGUGCCAGCAGCCGCGGUAAUACGGAGGUGGCAAGCGGUGUCCGGGUUUAUUGGGCGUAAAGCGAGUGC